CAGAUGGGCAUCUUGUGACCCUUCAGAUGUUGUUGACCUGCAAUUCCCGUACGUCCUAGACAGCGGAGCUAAAAGCUGGACUGGUACAAUCUUCAAACGUUUUUGUAUUGCAACAAGUUACAUUGAUGACCAUUAUGAUUCCUUAUAUACAACAGAGAAUGGACUGCAUCAGACCAAACUUACUAAGUGGCAUGUGCGAGAGAGGAGGAAUGGCAGAAAGAGGAUUGUUAACAAUUAAUCUUUCCUAGGGCUGCAUAUCAGAGAGCCUAUUUACCCUUCCAUCAUUACUGGCAAGUAAAA